rnacentral:lncRNA from 1 species
CAAUUUUGGUGGCAAUUGUAUGGGGAUAUACUUUCCUCCAGGGGCGUCUCUAGUCCUCUCUCACGAGGGGGCACUCUGCUGCCUCUUGCAGUGGCCUCAGGGGUAAGGGACCGAGACCCAUCCGGUGUGACCAAUAAACCCGGACUCUCAGCAAUGUGGAAAGAAACUGGCCAACAACCUGGGGUAAAGGAUCCUCACAUACCGAGGUGACGACUCUGUGCACAGACCAACGAAGGAGAAGCCACGGGAGCCGGUGUUAUGUCGUACCAUACAUCCAGGAGUUCAUCAAAACAACUAAGCCAAGACAUGCUAAGAAAGUUUGAAGAGGAAAACUAUACAGUAAAAGAGGAG